CAGGCGAAAGAGGAGGGCAAGGGAGUCAGAGGUUGGGAUUUAGAAAAGGGGGAUGUCGGCGGAAGGGUUAGAGGAGUAGGGGAGGUGAGGGAGCUGUUACCACCGCCGCCGCGGGAGACCACCGCCUCCUCCUCCCCCCUCUACCACCGCCGCCGCGGGAGACCACCGCCUCCUCCUCCCCCCUCUACCACCGCGUCGCCGCUGGAAGGGGAGUGCGUAGGGUAGGGGGGAGCAGUAGGGCCUAGUGUGGCCUGGGCUCCGCACGCCCGCGCCGUCGCUGGACGUUCCCUUCCCGCUGCGAGCUUAGCUAGGUCGGUACCUAGCCAGGGACGCCCUCUUUCUCUUUUACUCCUGGAGGCACGAGUUGUCCUCCUCGGCCCCAACGACUAGGCCGGCCGGGUCUAGGUGUGCGGAGGAGGAAGCCGGUGGAGCGGGGUGGUCGAAGGUCGAGGCACCUAGGCGGCUCCUACCUCCCGUCGUUCACUCUCCCUCGUCCCCUUCUACACUUAGCUCCCUCACUUUCUUCCUAGAGUGUCCCCUUCUCCUUCUUCCUCAGAUCGCCACAUAGGAGCAGAGUAGGGACCGACGUGGAGAAGACUACGGUACCGUGGUCACCACCGAGCAGCUACCUCGUGGAGGAAGGUACUGCCGUGGUGGUCGCUGAGAACGAGCUGCGGUGCUAUGUGUUGUAGCUCCGGUGGGGACUACGAGUCCGACUACGAAGAAGCGAACUACGACUUCUUUUCCUACUAGUCUAAGUCUGCGGGUUCUUGUUGUCGAUGAUACUUAUAAUACUAACUCGCUGACGAACCGCUACAGUAGCAGUCUCCGAGUCCGGAGGAGGGACCUGUUCCGUGAGCACGAUCCGCCACCGCUAGACACGCGGCCAAGUUCUCCGCCAUUCUGCCAGCGUUCUUACGGUUCGAGAAGUCGACACCGUAGUACGUUAUUACCUUAACUCGUAAGACCCGUUUUGUAUUUCCUGUUGCUUAUACGUUCCAACCACUGUGGUCAACUUGUACGUUGUCGACUGUUCUUUAAAACGGACUCGUUGGUUUCAAUUCUGUGAAGUAAACCACUUACUUUCAAAACGAACCUACGAAGGUAGAAUAUAAUCGUAGAAUAUAGAAGCCCUUUAAACCGCGUGACACCCAGCUCGAGCGACGACCUCCGCCGCCGCCGCCGGCCGCGCGGCUACGUCUGUACCGGCUACCACAAGCUGGUCAAGUAGCUCCUCUCCGACCAGUGUCUGCAAGAGUUCUAGCCGCUCUUCCACACCCCGCCCCGCGCCUCGUGCUUCCUCCUCUUCCUCUACCACGGCCGGCUCCACCACCGCUCCAAGAACCUUGGUCCGCCUUGCCCCCUCUGCCGCUCCCUGGCUCGCGUCCUCGAGGGUCACUUCCGAGCACGCCGGCACAGCUUUCCGCCCAGCAGCAGGACACUAGACACGUCCGAAUAGCUGCUGGACUACCUUUGUUCCCUCCGGCAGCGGCCGCCGCUGUGAUGAUGCAGUGCGCGACGACUCUAUAUCGCGGUAACAACAUAAAGGGACAAGAAGUUAGACAAACAUUUGUACAUUGUGGCCGGCGAAUUAGACAAGACAUAAAGGGAAACGGAUGAUAGGGAUACCACAAGUAGUAGAGUCCCUAAACGACCGUGACCUAGGUCAUCCUCCUCUAGGGACACCGUAAACUAAGAACACCCUAAGGGUGUGUAGAACGUCCUAGUUGUCCAAUAGUUGUGGAAGAGUCAGGGAGACGUGGGUACUGGGUCCAAACCAAGGAGACCACCACCUCCUAAAAAAAACAAGAUAAGCCUACACCCAAAGGCAUGUACUAGUGUACUAUUACGGUACUCACUGAUACCCGGUGAUGGUUCUUCUCCGAGAUUAAUCGAAGUAACUAUACAACGAAACGACUCGUGCUGUGUUUAGCUUUCUGAAAAGACAUGGUCCGGUUUGGUUGAUGAACGUAUAACUUCUUUGAAGGUACUACAAAAUGCACACCUAAGAUUGUUGACUAGAUCGCAUAUACAAUAGUAUCGUCUUAUUCUCUACGCGAGUUUGGUCACCUAAAAAGUAGGUUCUACGAAAAUAUUCUUUACGCCGUUUGUAGUCAUUACCUGACGUGGUCCAUAGUAGAGACACGGUACCCCACACAGCACCCCUGACUAGGCACCGACUCCAGCUGUUUUUUUGUCCCCUCGGGUGCUUGUUGGUUUAAGGUCUGACCAAAAACAGUAUAGCCUGUAAUCAGUACUUUCAACGUCAGAAAGUAAAAAUAGUAUGUUUCGUGUGACUAACCAAGAGUACCCUAUCGCUACGGAAAGUCAACAAGAACAGACAUGUAGGCUCAUUCCUAUUGAUGUGUGAAGAUUUUAACAGUCAUGUAUGUUUAACUAGAAAGACCACUAACGAAACCAUUAUUGAUGUUUGAAGAUUUAAACAGUAGAAAAACCAAACGUAUCGAUUAAAGGGGACUCCUAACAUCAUUGCAAAUUUGUUCAUAAAUGUGAAGAUUUGUUCAUACCUUUUUCCGCUGAACGAACUUGACUUAGUCGGUAUUUGGAGGGAAUUAAUACACGUACAGAUGUUUUUGAAAUCCAGACGGAGGGACAUCUUUAUGUGUUCAUAUAAACAUUGUGAAUCUACGAACGGAUACAUUCGAACGUAGUGUCUGGUCGUUCCUCCUUCUGCUUCGGGCCCAAGUCGGGGCAACCUCAACCGUAGACGAGUGUCGUUCGACGUCUACUACAGGCAUAAAACAAAGAAAAGAGGACACCGUUUGUGUUCGUCCACGACUCUAUUCCGUCUUAAUAUAAGUCUAAGCAUCGACGAUCCAUCAUAUAAAAUCGUGAUUCAAAGAAAAUUUAAUACCCGUAUUAGACACGCCUUAAAGUUAAAUGAGGAUUUUGUUGUCAACAUCGAGAACAAAAAUACAAAGGUUACCACGACCAAAGUGACUUUAAACUAACCAUCAAAUCCUCAAUCCGGUCUUUUCCACGAUGACAAAUCAUUAUCGCUCCGACACUCUUCUAGAUAAAUGGAUACAAGUUGGUUCAAUCUCUGUCAAAGUCAGGGUUAGUGGAAUUUAUUUCAACAUCCUUUAAGAGAUACCCAUAGAAUUUUAUCAAAUAAAUGACUCUAGCCAAUUCACCAAAUUUUCGAUACUUGUCUUGUUACUCACUGAGUCAUUGAGUCAAAUUCAAAGUCGAUUUAAAUCUUGACCAAUAAAUCCAAAAAAUGAAGUCCCUUUAUAAUUACAUAAGUACUUUAUCUAUAAAUUCAAAAAAACAUACACUCAACUAUAUUGAAAAUACAUGACGUCCGUCAAGCAAAUUUAGGUGUAUUGUCACGGAAAUCAUCCGCUAUCGUUCCAUCAGUCUGUUAGAAUCAAACCCCUUUAUUCUAUCCAAUGGACUGCUAUGUAACUUUCUCUUUCCUUAUAACUAUAAAACAGCUACUGCACUUGACGUUUUCCUACGAGAACCACUGUCGUAGGACCCGAAGACUUUGUACGAGUCAAAUCGACUUUACUACAUAAGUUAAUACGUCUCUCUACCUUAACAAGCUUGAGCUCACGGUGGUUAGCUGCCGUAUGGUUCUGUAAUGGUGCUCUCGUCGCCACGAAGGUCCUACUUCUUACUUACGUACAGUAAGUCCCUAUUGACACCCGUUACUUUACAACUUCCCAGGUAGAGAGUGGGGUGAGGUAUAUCUACGAAUCAAGAAGUACCGCUAACAGAGAUUACAAAAACAAACAUUAUAUAAAACCGAACCUUUAUAUUUUUGAGUUACGGCGGACAGUGUGUUAAAAAACAGCAGGCCCGUUUGGGGGGAAAGGUAAUUAAAGAACUACAUACCAAUAACUACGUCAGAAGAUCUGCUUCUACCUAAAUCCGACACACUAAGGUAUCAUAUGGAACGUGAAGGAAAUUCGUACUUAUAGACUUGCACGUGCCACAUAUAAAGAGUCGGUACAACAAAAAGAUAAAUAUAAAAGUCCUGUGUAUUUCAUGUACAUAACGUAAUCUUAUAUUGAAGAUGAAGACACGAUAAUAAAAGGAAGUACCAUAUACACCGUCUUGUGGUACAUAUAGAUUGUAGAAGUCCAAAGUCCUAAAUUUACGGGAAACAAAAGACAUCCACCAAUGGACUCUAAAAUAAACUAAUGAGAUAAUCUAGCAUUCGUUUAAUUCUGUAUACAACUAGAACGUUAACUAUCGUAAAGGACAGUAUAACAACUAAGAGAAUGUCUAGGUGGUGGAGUCUACCACGACUGUCCCACGUUUCGUCAGAAGGAAUCUCGAAACCAUGGCCCAAAAUUCCUCUUGUAAACGGGAGUACUUCGGGGUGAAACACCACUAACGUCGACAUCGAUUCCUCCCAUGGGCAGUCGCGGUCGAGUGACGAACGGAUACAUUAGUUAGAUAUAAAGGUUGGAAAAACAAAUACCAUUCAUCUUGUUGCGGAUCUUUCUUACUUUCUGACAAAGAUUUAAGAUUAAUGGAAACGACGUAGAUUGGAUUGACGGUACGGAUACACUGGUGAUUUCGUUUAUGGUAACAAAGUAGACGUCGCAUCAGGUCUAAAUCAAAAUCACUAAAGAAUUGGGAAAACAAGAACGAGACUUCUAAUUCUGUACGUGCCCGGAAUCUGAUAUCAUUCGUAGAUACAAUAUGCGUAGAAAAGUAACGGCGCAUAUGAUUUACAUUAGUCCCUGAAUGAUUAUAACUACAUAGGGGAGUCAACAUAACCAUGAUGAUGUAUAAGCAGUACUGUGAUGGUUAAUAUAUAUCGUUUAAGUUUCCACAGAUAUACUACGUAGAGAUGGAUACACAGAACGAACAAUUUUUGUUACAUUUAUUCGAUGUUCUAUUGAUUUCUUCGUAUGUUGAUACACCUCCUUCACACACGAUGUAGUUUGUUUUAAGUACCGGAACGACCGUAAUCGGAACCUGGGACGACGGAGUUACAGACAAAGAUUAGACUUCGUCCGAGAGUACCUCUAAGUGCUACAUCACCAGCGUGAAGUUUUGUGACGUUGGUGUUGUAGAGUCAAGGAUCUCCUUUUUCCGUACAUGAGUCUACUACUUCACGGACUAGGUAAGAUAUCCCCGUAAGACUACUUCUAAGUCGACUACUAACAGUAGUUCUGUACCUGCUGCUGAUGCCAGUGAUACAGGCUAGGGGUACUCGUAGUAUAAGUCGGACGAUUCGACAGACUACGGUACACUUCGACAUAUACAUAUCGAAGUGGUAAUGCUGAACCAAGACACCGACAACACAAAUAAGAGGAUACGACCGACUUAUUCUACGCUUCGAGAAACAAAUAUCGAAACGGAAUCUAAAAAAAAGGAAAAACUUGACGUGAUACCAGUACAUAUUCAUACUUUAGGUACAACUACGCAACUCGAAUAAAUAGAUACAACGUAGAAACGAAA
rnacentral:rRNA from 1 species